CACGCUUAACACAUGCAAGUCGAACGGCAGCAUAGUCGGCCAUAGCCCGUAAGGGCGACGGCGGAUGGAUGGCGAGUGGCGGACGGGUGAGUAAUGCAUAGGGAUCUACCUUGUAGAGGGGGAUAACGCCAGGAAACUGGCGCUAAAACCGCAUACUACUCUGAGGAGGAAAGCAGCCUGAGAGGGUCGUGCUAUACGAUGCACCUAGGCCAGAUUAGCUAGGUGGUAGGGUAAAGGCCUACCAAGGCGACGAGCGGUAGGUGGUCUGAGAGGAUGGACAGCCACACUGGGACAGAAACACGGCCACGACUACUACGGGAGGCAGCAGUGGGGAAUAUUGGACAAUGGGGGCAACCCUGAUCCAGCGAUGCCGCGUGUGUGAAGAAGGCCUUCGGGUUGUAAAGCACUUUCAGUGGGGAGGAAAGGUUAGAGGUUAAGAGCUACUAACUGUGACGUUACCCACAGAAGAAGCACCGGCUAACUCUGUGCCAGCCGCCGCGGUAA
rnacentral:rRNA from 1 species